rnacentral:rRNA from 1 species
UUUAAAGGGCCGCGGUAAUUUGACCGUGCGAAGGUAGCAUAGUCAGUAGUCUUUUAAUUGAAGGCUUGUAUGAAUGGUUGGACGAGGGGUAAGCUGUCUCCUUUGUGUAGUUUGAAUUUAACUUUUGAGUGAAAAGGCUCAAAUUGUUUAGUGGGACGAUAAGACCCUAUAAAACUUAAUACAAGUUUGGUUAAAUUUGUGAUGUGUGUAAAAAAUGAUUUUACUGUGUUUGUAUUUCGUUGGGGAGAUGAAGAUAUAAAAUGUAACUGUCUAUUUAAUUUAAUAGCGCUAAUUAGUGUUUGACCCUUCUUUGUGGGUUAAAAGAAUAAGUUACUUUAGGGAUAACAGCGUGAUUUUCUUUGAGAGUUCUUAUCGACAAGAGUAGUUGCGACCUCGAUGUUGAAUUAAAAUUUCAGCUAGGUGUAGCCSNVGUUUAGCUGGUGGGUC